UUAAGUGAAUAAGGGCGCACGGUGGAUGCCUUGGCACUAGGAGCCGAUGAAGGACGGGACUAACACCGAUAUGCUUUGGGGAGCUGUAAGUAAGCUAUGAUCCAGAGAUUUCCGAAUGGGGGAACCCAAUAUCUUUUAUAGGAUAUUACUUUUCAGUGAAUACAUAGCUGAUUAGAGGUAGACGCAGAGAACUGAAACAUCUUAGUACCUGCAGGAAGAGAAAGAAAAUUCGAUUCCCUGAGUAGCGGCGAGCGAAACGGGAAGAGCCCAAACCAACAAGCUUGCUUGUUGGGGUUGUAGGACUCCAAUAUGGUAGUCUGUUAGUAUAGUUGAAGGAUUUGGAAAAUUCCGCUAAAGAGGGUGAAAGCCCCGUAGACGAAAUGCUGACAACACCUAGGAGGAUCCUGAGUACGGCGGAACACGAGAAAUUCCGUCGGAAUCCGCGGGGACCAUCCCGCAAGGCUAAAUACUCCCUAGUGACCGAUAGUGAACCAGUACCGUGAGGGAAAGGUGAAAAGCACCCCGGAAGGGGAGUGAAAUAGAUCCUGAAACCGUGUGCCUACAACAAGUCAAAGCUCGUUAAUGAGUGAUGGCGUGCCUUUUGUAGAAUGAACCGGCGAGUUACGAUUGCAUGCGAGGUUAAGUCGAAGAGACGGAGCCGCAGCGAAAGCGAGUCUGAAUAGGGCGAAUGAGUAUGUAGUCGUAGACCCGAAACCAUGUGAUCUACCCAUGUCCAGGUUGAAGGUGCGGUAAAACGCACUGGAGGACCGAACCCACGUACGUUGAAAAGUGCGGGGAUGAGGUGUGGGUAGCGGAGAAAUUCCAAACGAACUUGGAGAUAGCUGGUUCUCUCCGAAAUAGCUUUAGGGCUAGCCUCGGAAUUGAGAAUGAUGGAGGUAGAGCACUGUUUGGACUAGGGGCCCAUCUCGGGUUACCGAAUUCAGAUAAACUCCGAAUGCCAUUCAUUUAUAUCCGGGAGUCAGACUGCGAGUGAUAAGAUCCGUAGUCGAAAGGGAAACAGCCCAGACCACCAGCUAAGGUCCCAAAAUAUAUGUUAAGUGGAAAAGGAUGUGGGGUUGCACAGACAACUAGGAUGUUGGCUUAGAAGCAGCCACCAUUUAAAGAGUGCGUAAUAGCUCACUAGUCGAGUGACCCUGCGCCGAAAAUGUACCGGGGCUAAACAUAUUACCGAAGCUGUGGACUACACCAUUAGGUGUAGUGGUAGGAGAGCGUUCUAAGGGCGUUGAAGGUCGAUCGUGAGGACGGCUGGAGCGCUUAGAAGUGAGAAUGCCGGUAUGAGUAGCGAAAGACAGGUGAGAAUCCUGUCCACCGUAUGACUAAGGUUUCCUGGGGAAGGCUCGUCCGCCCAGGGUUAGUCGGGACCUAAGCCGAGGCCGAUAGGCGUAGGCGAUGGACAACAGGUUGAUAUUCCUGUACCAGUUGUUUUUGUUUGAGCAAUGGAGGGACGCAGUAGGCUAAGGAAUGCAUGCGAUUGGAAGUGCAUGUCCAAGCAAUGAGUCUUGAGUAGAGUUAAAUGCUUUACUCUUUAAGGACAAGUUGUGAUGGGGAGCGAAAUAAUAGUAGCGAAGUUCCUGAUGUCACACUGCCAAGAAAAGCUUCUAGUGAGAAAACAACUGCCCGUACCGUAAACCGACACAGGUAGUCGAGGAGAGUAUCCUAAGGUGAGCGAGCGAACUCUCGUUAAGGAACUCGGCAAAAUGACCCCGUAACUUCGGGAGAAGGGGUGCUGACUUCGGUCAGCCGCAGUGAAUAGGCCCAAGCGACUGUUUAUCAAAAACACAGGUCUCUGCAAAAUCGUAAGAUGAAGUAUAGGGGCUGACGCCUGCCCGGUGCUGGAAGGUUAAGAGGAUGGGUUAGCUUCGGCGAAGCUCAGAAUUGAAGCCCCAGUAAACGGCGGCCGUAACUAUAACGGUCCUAAGGUAGCGAAAUUCCUUGUCGGGUAAGUUCCGACCCGCACGAAAGGCGUAA
rnacentral:rRNA from 1 species